UCUAAAAACUCCUGGGUUAUUUCUUCAACCCAUAUUCUGGGUUAUUUGUGUUGGGUUAAAAUUAUGGGUUAUUUUUUCAGAGAGUAAUCAUUUUCUGGGUUAUAGGGCUAAUAUUUUGACCCAAUUCCUGGGUUGUUUGGGUUUCUGGGUUAUUUUUCAAAAAUUAACCCAUGUUCUGGGUUAAUGCCCCGCCCCUCGCUGUUGUUCUGGAAUUUUCUCACAACAGUCGUUUGAAAUAACUGUCACUUCACGGAGUUCGCGCUCGAUCCGUGUUGGCCUGGGCUUCUUCGGUGCAACUUCGCUGUGUAUUCAAGGUCUUUUAAACAGCUUUGUUGCUGAUAAGCUAACUGAGUGGUGGCUGUUUAAGCUAACAGAGACAUUUUUGAGGCCGUCUACAGUGUUGGGAAGAAGACAAUCCGGCACUCCACUGAAGAGUCCUGGACAGCGUUCAUACACCAAAUGUCUGUUGGAAGAAAUAUGGUGGAAUACAGUGGCGGCUCGUGACUGCUCAUCCGAGGAUGCGCUAAUUCAAAAUGAGUGUUCAGAUUGUCACGUGUGUGGUUUCCUUUUCCAAAAUAUGUGUCCUGCGUGUCGAGAGAUCAAAACUGUUUAUGAUAAAAGAGACACUCAUGUUCACAAAAUACACACUAGACACUUUCUUAACAGUAAACUCUGAUUACGCAUGAGAUUAUGCCAGUAUCUGGCAAACGCAAUCAUCUCUUUUAUCAUAAACCCUUUAGACGCGUCUGCAGCAGGCACUUAUUUUGGCAUGACACGUGAUGCACACAGGAUCUCUCAAAGCGCAGAACACAUAUUUGGAAAUAACGAACCACACACAUGACGGGCUACAUACAUGUUGUGACGAACUUCGCAUCGAGCGCCCUCCAAAAAUAAGUCACCGGCCCCCACUGGUGGAAUACCUUCAGCAAUCGAUGCCCUUCCCCUCUGGGAGAUCUUAAGCUGCAGUAAAAGACACAACCAAU